rnacentral:rRNA from 1 species
GAUCCUGGCUCAGGAUGAACGCUAGCUACAGGCUUAACACAUGCAAGUCGAGGGGCAGCAUGAACUUAGCUUGCUAAAGUUUGAUGGCGACCGGCGCACGGGUGAGUAACACGUAUCCAACCGUGCCGAUGACUCGGGGAUAGCCUUUCGAAAGAAAGAUUAAUACCCGAUGGCAUAGUUCUUCCGCAUGGUAGAACUAAUUAAAGAAUUUCGGUCAUCGAUGGGGAUGCGUUCCAUUAGGG